AAAUACCUUCCCCCAUUUAAAUAAUUUUCCAACUUUUGUGGAUUUUAGUUUGAGGUCUUCAUCUCAACCCACCUAUGAGUUCAUCUGGGUGUGAUAGUGAAAAGGGAAGAUCUUCUGCAGAAGCAGCUGUGGUUUGGACCAGCUACUGCUCCAGUCUGUUCAGUAUAAUAGAGGUGACUUCUCUGUUUUAUGUAUCUGCUUUCCGUGCAGUGAGACCAGCAUAGCAAGCCUUAGCACUUAAGCAGUGCUGCCGUUAUCAUCUACCUGCGUGUCCAAUGGGGUUUGGUAUCGACUGAAUUUGAAGACUUUCUGAUAGAGGCAGGCAAUGCUGCGAUGAUGGUUUCUAUGGAAACAAGUGUGAGAUGAGAAGCAACUAAUAAGAGCUCAACUCAGCCAGCUCCUGGAUGGAUUUGCUGACAGAGCCCCAAAGUUGCCAGAGGCCAUCCUCAUCUCGUUACGUGCUCUUUCUGCAGAUGGUUGGGGCUGGUGGGACGAUUGCUGCCCCUCCUCGAGGGACUCCACACCAAGCGCUGCAGGCCUCUGGGCUGAGACACAGUGGAUGAUUGAUUGUACCCGCCAGCUGGCUAAUAUCAUAAUUAACAAAGUUGCUACCAUGUCUGAGAAGUUUAAUCGAAAAAAUUGCUGGCAGUAUGAUACCAUUGUCACAGAGAUCACAAGCCCUGCAGUGUCGACUUUUGUACUGUUGGAGCCACAGGACUAUGUAGAUGUGCAGAGAAGUCGUUCGCUGGGAUAA
rnacentral:lncRNA from 1 species